rnacentral:rRNA from 1 species
AACGCUGGCGGCGUGCUUAACACAUGCAAGUCGAACGGAGCGAAUGAAAGCUUGCUUUUAUGAGCUUAGUGGCAAACGGGUGAGUAACACGUAGACAACUGCCGACAGGAUGGGGACAACAUUCCGAAAGGAAUGCUAUACCGAAUGAAGCGGAGGAGAGGCAUCUCUCUUCCGUGAAAGAUGGCCUCUUUUUAUGCUAUCACCUGUUGAUGGGUCUGCGUCUGAUUAGCUGGUAGGUGAGGUAACGGCUCACCUAGGCGACGAUCAGUAGCCGGUCUGAGAGGAUGAACGGCCACAUUGGGACUGAGACACGGCCCAGACUCCUACGGGAGGCAGCAGUGGGGAAUCUUCCGCAAUGGGCGCAAGCCUGACGGAGCAACGCCGCAUGAGUGAAGAAGGUCUUCGGAUCGUAAAGCUCUGUUGACGGGGACGAACGUAUAGAGUGCGAACAGCGCUUUGUAAUGACGGUACCUGUCGAGGA